rnacentral:rRNA from 1 species
CAGUAGCCACGGGAAAACGAAGGGGGCUAGCGUUGCUCGGAAUCACUGGGCGUAAAGGGUGCGUAGGCGGGUCCUUAAGUCAGGGGUGAAAUCCUGGAGCUCAACUCCAGAACUGCCUUUGAUACUGAAGAUCUUGAGUUCGGGAGAGGUGAGUGGAACUGCGAGUGUAGAGGUGAAAUUCGUAGAUAUUCGCAAAAACACCAACGGCGAAAGCACUCUGCUGGGCCGACACUGACACUGAGAGACGAAAGCUAGGGGAGCAAAUGGGAUUAGAUACCCCCGUAGUCCCUGUCUCUUAUAC